CCCCUUUCAGGGUCACAUCUGGAGAGUUUCCAUACUCUACCAGUCUCGACUACAGGAGGGAGAGUCAGGCAGAGGCAUACCCAUUCCAUUCCUAGCUUGGGCAGUGACUAGCAAAUGGAAGGUAAUCUGCCACAAGU